GCAUGUUCGAGCGCCGUGCCGGGCUGCCGGCCCCUCGAUCAACAGGAAGAGGAGCGCCGUCUGGAGUGAGUAACUGGCAACGGGACAACCAUGUCCCGAAUCAGCGCCCAGCAGCGAGCAGAGCAUUGAACCAUGGCGAGGCCGAGGCGAGCCGGCCAGGAGCAUGCGGCCGCCGUACUAGGAGCCAGCGGCCUGCGGGCGCGCGCAGAAAAUGAUGCAACGUGCCCAGUCGCCAGCACAUGCGACUCUACAGCCCGACAAGCCG
rnacentral:lncRNA from 1 species